rnacentral:rRNA from 1 species
UACAGAGGUGGCAAGCGUUGUUCGGAAUUACUGGGCGUAAAGGGCGAGUAGGUGGCCAUCUAAGUCAGACGUGAAAUCCCCAGGCUUAACCUGGGAACUGCGUGUGAUACUGGAUGGCUUGAGUUCGGGAGAGGGAUGCGGAAUUCCAGGUGUAGCGGUGAAAUGCGUAGAUAUCUGGAGGAACACCGGUGGCGAAGGCGGCAUCCUGGACCGACACUGACACUGAGGAGCGAAAGCCAGGGGAGCAAACGGG